UACGGGGGGGGGCAAGCGUUGUUCGGAAUUACUGGGCGUAAAGGGCUCGUAGGCGGCCAACUAAGUCCGACGUGAAAUCCCCAGGCUUAACCUGGGAACUGCGUCGGAUACUGGAUGGCUUGAAUUCGGGAGAGGGAUGCAGAAUUCCAGGUGUAGCGGUGAAAUGCGUAGAUAUCUGGAGGAAUACCGGUGGCGAAGGCGGCAUCCUGGACCGACAUUGACGCUGAGGAGCGAAAGCGUGGGGAGCGAACAGG
rnacentral:rRNA from 1 species